CUAAGGUCCUUACACAUGUGUUCAGAAAAAAAGAAAAAGAAAAAAAGAUUAAAAAAGGACUACUAGUCUUACUUUGACCAUUCUUUCAAAUCAAAGCCAUACUGCUAUUUGGUCACACACAAAAAAGAAAAAGAAAAAAUAAAAAAUUCCCACGGUUGAGCCGCUGAGGUAGAGCCAAGUAUGCUGAAAUCUUUGGUUGGCCUAUGACCUCUUGUUGUCUUGAAUUCUUCUUCUUUUGCGCAUGUAGAAUGUGCCAAUCCUGUUUUGGUGCGCACCUCCGUUUUCUUUUGACCCUCCUCACCUCAACCAAGUUUCCUUCAACUUUGCUAAAAGUGGCUUUGUAAUGAAUUGGAAAUUGGGUUGCUGGUUUCACUUGAAAACGUUCAGUGCUUAAAAAUAAUUAUUAAUUCUAGAGUUGUGGUUGUGCAACCACAUCUUGCAACUCAUUGUGAAUGAAGCUGAAGCUAAUUAAGCUGCUUAAAGAUAGGCUAAGCAUGUUCUUCUUUCUUCUUCUUUUUUCUAAAGAAAUUUAAGGGUUAAAAACUUUUUUCGUCACUGUGUUUAUGCCGAAAAUCUAUUUUGGUCAUUGUACUUUACAAUGUUCGCAAGCGUUACAAUGUCUGAAAUGAUUUUUGGUAUGAAGAGAAAAACCAUUAAUCAAAAUUUUUUUUUUUUGGGUUCAAAAAGGGAAAAUGAUGAAUUAGAGAUGAUUUGUGGGGAUGGUGAUACCCAUAUACUCCAAGUCCAUGAAAAUAAAUUAUAAUUCAACAAACACAAAAACCCAAGAAAACCAACACCAAUAGAGAAAGAUAGAGAUAUAGUUGCAAUAAUUUGAGGUUAUGGAAACCCCAAUUAAAUUAUUAAUAAUGGGUUAAUUUUGCAAAUAAUACACAAACCAACCAUUUGGGAGACUAAAUCCCAAAAAAAGAAAAAGAAAAAAAACUAAAAAUUCAAUCUCCCAACCCAAUCAUAUAAUUUCAUGAACAACACCCCCUUCAACAAAAUUAAAACAUCACAAACAACUCACAAUUUACAAACCCAUCCCUCCUAAAAACUAAAAGAAAAUUAUACAAUAAAAAACUAAACAUUUAUAAAAUAAAAAAACUCGGGUAGUUCGGGUCGGGUCGGGUGAGCUGAGCAAUGUAAUGGGUUGAAGAAGAAUUGAGGAAAUCAGGCGUGAGUGUGGGGUCUACCUGGAGAAGUGGAGGAGGGAGUUGAGGAGACGAUAGAAGGCGUGGCGGAGGCGAGGGUAGAGUCUGAUGCUGUAAACGGCGGUGUGGCGGAGAAAGUCUUCGAUUGUCUCCACGAACAGGUUGAUGCUUCGGAUCGGCGGCACGUAGAGGGUCAAAGGCACCGCUGAGAAAGCCACCGCGAAUAGCAGCUGCAGCAUUUUAAACUCCAACCAAACAAGUCAAAAUCAAAGGAUUCAAUUUCACACCAAACCAACCCCAACCCAAUAACAUACAAAGAUUGCAAGACUCUGCAGCUCUAGAUUGCGAUAACAUAUAUAUGAUUUUGCUUUUGGGUUUUUUGGUCUUUGGGCAGAGAGAGAAAGUGAGUGACUUUUCAAAGAGAGACAGAGAAACGAAGCUUUCUUCUUUGUCUCUCUCCUUUUUCUCGCUAUGGGUAACGUGGUUUUGUAUUUUUUUGAUUGGAUGGUGGGGUGGUUAGGACAAGGCAUGCUUUUAUAGGAGGAUGAUGUAAAUUCUAACCUCUCUCAUGUAUAU
rnacentral:lncRNA from 1 species